rnacentral:lncRNA from 1 species
GUCAGCCAUGGCCAGCGCGCGCAGCGGGCCGAUGGCGGUGACGAGCGACGGCGGCAUGUGCCGGCAGCACCACAGGGGCUCGUCGAUGGCGACGCUGAUCUCGGUCGCGCCCGCGUGACGUCCGCCCAGUGUGCGCGGAUCGGCGCGGCGGAGACGCUCGGCGGGCACUAUACACGUCGGCAGACCGUGCGCUGAACCCGACACGACGGCUUGCUUGAGCGCCAACCGCCGCGCGCGCGCAUUGCGCUGUAUGCGCCCGUCUCCAACGCUCUUGUGCGGCCAAUCCACGGUAGCGGUGUCGUCCGGAGCGCCUCCGGGUUCGCGGCGAUCACAAACAGCACGAUCGAACCCACUGUGCUCCUCGCCCAUUUCUCCACAUUUGCUGUUGUUGGUGUCGUUGUUAUUGUCGUUGUCGUUGGUGUCGUCGGUCCUCCCGUUCUGCCCAUUCGCGCCGUCGGCGAUAGAGUCUCGC